rnacentral:misc_RNA from 1 species
GAAAUGCGAUAAGUAAUGUGAAUUGCAGAAUUCAGUGAAUCAUCGAAUCUUUGAACGCAUCUUGCGCUCCUUGGUAUUCCUUGGAGCAUGCCUGUUUGAGUAUCAUGAAAUCUUCAAAGUAAAUCUUUUGUUAACUCAAUUGGUUUCUACUUUGGUAUUGGAGGUCUUUGCAGCUUCACACCUGCUCCUCUUUGUUCAUUAGCUGGAUCUCAGUGUUAUGCUUGGUUCCACUCGGCGUGAUAAGUUAUCUAUCGCUGAGGACACUGUAAAAGGUGGCCAAGGUAAAUGCAGAUGAACCGCUUCUAAUAGUCCAUUGACUUGGACAAUACUUUUAUGAUCUGAACUCAAAUCAGGUAGGACUACCCGCUGAACUUAAGC